rnacentral:rRNA from 1 species
AGGUUUUUAAUGCGGCGCGCUUCGGCGCUGCCUUAUUCACCCACCCUUUGUCUACGUGUACCUCUAUAGCUUCCUCGGCGGGCUCGCCCGCCGCCAGGAACCCACGAAACCCCUUGCAUUAUACACGAAAACUUCUGAUAACAAACCUAAAUUAUCACAACUUUCAACAAUGGAUCUCUUGGUUCUGGCAUCGAUGAAGAACGCAGCGAAAUGCGAUAAGUAGUGUGAAUUGCAGAAUUCAGUGAAUCAUCGAAUCUUUGAACGCACAUUGCGGCCAUAGGUAUUCCUUUGGCCAUGCCUGUUCGAGCGUCAUUUACACCCUCAAGCCUAGCUUGGUGUUGGGCGUCUGUCCCGCCGUUUUCGCGCGCGGACUCGCCUCAAAGUCAUUGGCGGCGGUCGUGCCGGCUCCUCGCGCAGCACAUUUGCGCUUCUCGGAGGCCCGGCGGAUCCGCGCUCCAGCAAAGACCUUUCAUGACUUGACCUCGGAUCAGGUAGGGAUACCCGCU